rnacentral:rRNA from 1 species
UACGUAGGGUGCGAGCGUUGUCCGGAAUUAUUGGGCGUAAAGGGCUCGUAGGCGGUUUGUCGCGUCGGGAGUGAAAUCCACUGGCUUAACUGGUGGCUUGCUUUCGAUACGGGCAGACUGGAGGUAUGCAGGGGGAGAACGGAAUUCCUGGUGUAGCGGUGAAAUGCGCAGAUAUCAGGAGGAACACCAGUGGCGAAGGCGGCCGCCCUGGACCUGACCUGACGCUGAGGCGCGAAGGCGUGGGGAGCGAACGGGG